UACGUAGGGUCCGAGCGUUGUCCGGAAUUAUUGGGCGUAAAGAGCUCGUAGGCGGUUUGUCGCGUCUGCUGUGAAAUCUAGAGGCUCAACCUCUAGCCUGCAGUGGGUACGGGCAGACUUGAGUGGUGUAGGGGAGACUGGAAUUCCUGGUGUAGCGGUGGAAUGCGCAGAUAUCAGGAGGAACACCGAUGGCGAAGGCAGGUCUCUGGGCACUUACUGACGCUGAGGAGCGAAAGCGUGGGGAGCGAACAGGAUUAGAAACCCCCGUAGUCC
rnacentral:rRNA from 1 species